AUUGAACGCUGGCAGCAGGCCUAACACAUGCAAGUCGAGCGGAUGAAGGGGGCUUGCUCCUGGAUUCAGCGGCGGACGGGUGAGUAAUGCCUAGGAAUCUGCCUGGUAGUGGGGGAUAACGUCCGGAAACGGGCGCUAAUACCGCAUACGUCCUGAGGGAGAAAGUGGGGGAUCUUCGGACCUCACGCUAUCAGAUGAGCCUAGGUCGGAUUAGCUAGUUGGUGGGGUAAAGGCCUACCAAGGCGACGAUCCGUAACUGGUCUGAGAGGAUGAUCAGUCACACUGGAACUGAGACACGGUCCAGACUCCUACGGGAGGCAGCAGUGGGGAAUAUUGGACAAUGGGCGAAAGCCUGAUCCAGCCAUGCCGCGUGUGUGAAGAAGGUCUUCGGAUUGUAAAGCACUUUAAGUUGGGAGGAAGGGCAGUAAGUUAAUACCUUGCUGUUUUGACGUUACCAACAGAAUAAGCACCGGCUAACUUCGUG
rnacentral:rRNA from 1 species